UACGUAGGUGACAAGCGUUGUCCGGAUUUACUGGGCGUAAAGAGCGCGCAGGCGGUCGUUCAAGUCGAGUGUGAAAGCCCCCGGCUCAACUGGGGAGGGUCAUUCGAUACUGAUCGACUCGAAGGCAGGAGAGGGAAGUGGAAUUCCCGGUGUAGUGGUGAAAUGCGUAGAUAUCGGGAGGAACACCAGUGGCGAAGGCGACUUCCUGGCCUGUGCUUGACGCUGAGGCGCGAAAGCUAGGGGAGCAAACGGG
rnacentral:rRNA from 1 species